UAGGGAAUCUUCGGCAAUGGGGGCAACCCUGACCGAGCAACGCCGCGUGAGUGAAGAAGGUUUUCGGAUCGUAAAGCUCUGUUGUAAGAGAAGAACGUGUGUGAGAGUGAAAAGUUCACACAGUGACGGUAACUUACCAGAAAGGGACGGCUAACUACGUGCCAGCAGCCGCGGUAAUACGUAGGUCCCGAGCGUUGUCCGGAUUUAUUGGGCGUAAAGCGAGCGCAGGCGGUUUAAUAAGUCUGAAGUUAAAGGCAGUGGCUUAACCAUCGUUCGCUUUGGAAACUGUUAAACUUGAGUGCAGAAGGGGAGAGUGGAAUUCCAUGUGUAGCGGUGAAAUGCGUAGAUAUAUGGAGGAACACCGGUGGCGAAAGCGGCUCUCUGGUCUGUAACUGACGCUGAGGCUCGAAAGCGUGGGGAGCAAACAGG
rnacentral:rRNA from 1 species